rnacentral:lncRNA from 1 species
GCCAAUAUUGCGCGCAAACAUUAUUGAGUACUGAUGGUGAGAUUUUCCAUUUCUUUAUCUUUUGUCCUUUUAAUCAAGAACAAUAUUGAGAUCUUACAUGGUUGUCCAAAUUUCGCAACAAGAAUAAGAAUGAGAGGCAUGAUACAGGUAGUUUUAUCCUGAGAAUUGGUCACCAUUCUGUAACCUUAAUACAAACAUAUAACUUGUGACAUAUCCAUGCAUAUAUGUGCUUUGCAAAUCGACUGACCUUUUUUUGUCUUCUGUGAAUAGAUGUUGAAUGACUUCCUAAUUUUUCUUUCAAUGGUGCAUAGUUCAACUUUUUCUUCAUUUGCUAUCUUUAGAUUCUUCAAAGCAAUUAAAUUUCUCAUGUUGCACCUGAGAUAAACCUACAAUCUAGAGCACAUGGAAACCAUAGAUCAUUUUUUUGAUUGCUUAUGCAAAGUUAAGUUAUGGCUUUCAGAAGUAUUUAAACAUCAUUUCUUUUAUAUGGAUGUCUACCUUUCCAAAAGAAUUGAUAUUCUAUCUGGUGUAAUUCAUGAUCAAUUGAUGUAUCAAACAUAAUAUAGGACGCAAAAACAGAGUGUAUGAGCAUGCAGUAUAAUUGGUGAGACUAGGGGAAUGUACUGACAAGUGACUUCCUUGCGUGUCCUUGAUGCUGCUUCCUUGACUCACACAUUAGUUCUCUUAAUAUGUAUCAUACUCGAUUUGAUUGGCAGGCUUCAGGUAAUUUGUAUUCGUGUGGUAAGAAUCAAUUGCACCACUUUCUUGAUGCAAUCACAUCAAUGGACCUGACUGCUACAAAUUACAUCACGAACUAUGUGCUACUUUAUCAAUUGUAGUUUCUUUGUUCAGUUAGUUCUCUGAAACAAAACCACUUCAACUCUCGAUGUGUAUGUUUCUCGGCAAAAUUUGUUGUAAUACUAAUCUUCCAGAGAUUAUUGUAAUAAAUAACUAUAUUUAGUAUCUUAUCU